rnacentral:rRNA from 1 species
AUUGAACGCUGGCGGCAGGCCUAACACAUGCAAGUCGAGCGGCAGCGGGAAAGUAGCUUGCUACUUUUGCCGGCGAGCGGCGGACGGGUGAGUAAUGCCUGGGGAUCUGCCCAGUCGAGGGGGAUAACAGUUGGAAACGACUGCUAAUACCGCAUACGCCCUACGGGGGAAAGGAGGGGACCUUCGGGCCUUUCGCGAUUGGAUGAACCCAGGUGGGAUUAGCUAGUUGGUGGGGUAAUGGCUCACCAAGGCGACGAUCCCUAGCUGGUCUGAGAGGAUGAUCAGCCAGACUGGAACUGAGACACGGUCCAGACUCCUACGGGAUGCAGCAGUGGGGAAUAUUGCAAAAUGGGGGAAGCCCUGAUGCAGCCAUGCCGCGUGUGUGAAGAAGGCCUUCGGGUUGUAAAGCACUUUCAGCGAGGAGGAAAGGUUGUUGGCUAAUACCCAGCAACUGUGACGUUACUCGCAGAAGAAGCACCGGCUAACUCCGUGCCAGCAGCCGCAGUAA